GAUGAACGCUGGCGGCGUGCCUAAUACAUGCCAGUCGAGCGAACAGACGAGGAGCUUGCUCCUCUGACGUUAGCGGCGGACGGAUGAGUAACACGUGGAUAACCUACCUAUAAGACUGGGAUAACUUCGGGAAACCGGAGCUAAUACCGGAUAAUAUAUUGAACCGCAUGGUUCAAUAGUGAAAGACGGUUUUGCUGUCACUUAUGGAUGGAUCCGCGCCGCAUUAGCUAGUUGGUAAGGUAACGGCUUACCAAGGCAACGAUGCGUAGCCGACCUGAGAGGGUGAUCGGCCACACUGGAACUGAGACACGGUCCAGACUCCUACGGGAGGCAGCAGUAGGGAAUCUUCCGCAAUGGGCGAAAGCCUGACGGAGCAACGCCGCGUGAGUGAUGAAGGUCUUCGGAUCGUAAAACUCUGUUAUUAGGGAAGAACAAAUGUGUAAGUAACUAUGCACGUCUUGACGGUACCUAAUCAGAAAGCCACGGCUAACUACGUG
rnacentral:rRNA from 1 species